UUUCUCCACACCCUGUAUUCUUCCCUCCCAGUAAAUCUCUUUUAUGACAUUUACUGCCUGAUGUAACUCUCUCAUCAGAAGAAGCCAAGAAGCAAUGAAGCAAAGAAGGGUAGAUAGGAAGAAGUGGAACAGGCUGAGGCUCCCGAGCUCCUGAGCUUAGCUGGGGAUACGAUCCCCUGGAACCUGCAGUGCAGAAGAGGAGCCGCUAGGGGGUGCUGUUACAGUGUAGCACUCCAGGUGACCCACCAUAUCCUCCCUAAGGGCUGCAAGGCCUCUGUGGAGGAGGUUUCCUCUCAGAGCUGUGUAGUUCCUGGGCUCCCAUGUCUCAGAAUGUCCUUCCUUUGCUACAUUGUCCCACCUCAGAGCUGUGUAGAUUCCUGGGCUCCCAAGUCCCAGGAUAACUUUCCAUUGAGCAGAAACACCAACAGUUGUUAUGCGCAGUUCUCAGGAACCCCAGAAGAACGCCAGGGAGUGCAAGUCCGAAGCUAAAACAAAGAGAUCAGGAGCAAAGCCUCCCCCCCCACCCCCGCUGUUCAGGUUAGGGAUGUGAUGCCUGUGUCCAGGGGCUUGGUGCAUUUGCAUAGGCAGGGAUCCUCGAACUUUGGGGUUACAUGACUGGGGAGGUGACAAGGGAAAGAUAUCUUUCAAACCUGAUAACAUUUGUUCAGGGGCAGAACCAUGCAGCUGGGAGGGGGACCUUUCUGACCUGGGAAGUAACUUUAUGGAGAUAUCAGGAGCUAGUGUAUUUUUACAAACCAGUUGCAGCUGUCUGGGAACACUUGCCCUUCCCCCAUGGUCCAAGCAUGGGCCUUUUAUCAUUUCAAGGAUGGUUGGUCCUUGUUCCCUUCAAGGGCAGGAGCCAUCUGCACCUGAGAAAGAUUUCUGGAUCCAGCUGAAGAGCUCUAUCCUUGCAUCAAAACCAUGAGCACAGCCUGAACCAACACUGAUCACUGCUUGAAUCUUGUGAGAAGCCUGAGCCAGAAGGGCGGCAGCGCCCUGGGCACCCAGCCGUGCCACUCUGAAUUCAGUGUCUUUAACCUAGCAGACUUGGUAGUCACUCCGGAUACAGCAAGAGACAGCGGACUGAUGAUAGCUUCAAGUGUGGUGUGCCGGUUAUCUCGACUGUCAGCUCAGCGGGAGUUUAGAACUACCUAGGAGACAAGCUCCAGUGUGUCUGUGAAGAUGGUUCCAGAAGGUGAAACCAAGGAAAGGAGUCAUGAAAGUGGGUGACGCCCCCCACACACACUGGGCUACCAGACUGAAGGAAGAAAGAAGGAAAGGAUCAAUGGGGCUAGCCUGCAAGAGAUCUAUUUGCAUAAAAGAACAGAAAUAAGACACCUUAACAGAGGGAGAUCCUCAAGCUGGCAUAACGAAUUAUAAAUGGCCAUCAGUCUUAGGCACUCCCCUCAUUGAGAGCUCUAAAGCUCUGAAAUUCUGGGACAGAAAUACAGAAAGGAAGCCAUCUUGCUCAGGGAGGGGGGGCUCACUUCCAGAUUCUGAGGGCUUUAUUCAUUCUUGGCACCACCACCACCAACCACCAUCUUUUAAGAGGCUGACAGAAUCCGAGCUCUGCAGAGUCUCUAGGCUGACACCCCAAGGAGUGGGAGCCCAGGAGUAUAGCUCAGGCUACUGUUAUUUUCCAAGCCCGCCUCAGAGACCUGGUCUUAAAAGGAGCCAAUUUUCACACAAAUCAGACGGCAUUCUCAUUAAAAUAAUGAGUUGCAAGAAUAAUGUCUUCCCGGGGCCAUUAUCUACAAACCCUCUGGGCUAACCUGGCAGCUUUGGUGCAUGCCCUGCAGUUGCAACCACUGAUCCCUGUGAUGGAGAAAGAUGAAUAAGGAAUCCAGAUGGAAGAGGAGGCCUGUCCAGUGCUUGCGGCACAGCCCCUCCUGGUUUUGUUGGAGGUCUCGCCCCACCCCGGUGGAACCACAUGGCAGCCCACUCAGGUUUCCCAGUCUGGUUUGGAUCAACCACGGCUUCUCCUGAUGCCUUCUCACCGGCCAGGUGCAGUGCUAAAGUGGGCACAGUGACAGCAAGGGAGAGGCCCAGAGGAAAAAGACUCGGAGCAUGCAAUCUGGGUUUAUUUCG
ensembl:lincRNA